CCGUGUGCGUGAUGCUGGAUGCUGAUUCAGGCUGCCACUCCAUGAACCAAGUGAAUCAAUGGUUACACUGAGAAGGCCUGCUGAAACUCACCACUUUUCUUGUUGGACCUCUUUUUUCUCCAAGCACACACCUCUCCUAGCUGGACCGUGGAGGCUGUUGUUGGGCCAAGGUGUGCUUUGAUUUUUCUGCUGGACGCCUCCUUUUCUGGAUGAGGAAUAAUGUUGCUGCAGUAUAUUACCGUCCAGCCCCUUUCUCAAUCCAUGGGUCGUGUUGUGCUAGCUUAAGUAGCUGCACAUUUUUUCUUUUUAUUUUUUUUUUCCUCACAUACAAUUGGCAGCAACUACCUUUUUUUUUUAUUCAACAAUUGGACAUUUAAUUCAAACGUGGGGUGGAGCUCCCUCAACUUUAAUAGCCUAAAAAUAUUGUGUGCUUCAAAAAAAAAAACCAUGAUAGCCC
rnacentral:lncRNA from 1 species